GAUGAACGCUGGCGGCGUGCUUAACACAUGCAAGUCGAACGGAAAGGCUCCUUCUUGCGGGGGUACUCGAGGGGCGAACGGGUGAGUAACACGUGGGUGAGCUGCCCUGCACUUCGGGAUAAGCCUGGGAAACUGGGUCUAGUACGUGAAAGGACUAUGGGUUGGAGGACAUGGUGGAGAGGUUUUCGGUGGGGGGUGAGCUCGAGGCCUAUCAGCUUGUUGGUGGUGUAAUGGCCUACGAAGGCGUCGCCGGGUAUCCGGCCUGAGAGGGUGUACGGCCACAUUGGGACUGGGACACGGACCCGACUCAGACGGCAGCGAGCAGCGGGGAAGAGUGCACAAUGGCCGCAAGCCAGAUCCAGAGACGGCGCGUGCGCGAUGACGGCCUUCGCCUUGGAGACUCAAUUCGCUAGGGCCGAAGCGUUUUGUGACGGUACCUGGAGAAGAAGCACCGGCUAACUCCGUG
rnacentral:rRNA from 1 species